rnacentral:rRNA from 1 species
UACGUAGGGGGCUAGCGUUGUCCGGAAUCAUUGGGCGUAAGCGCGUGUAGGCGGUCCGGUAAGUCCGCUGUGAAAGUCGGGGGGCUCAACCCUCGGAUGCCGGUGGAUACUGUCGGGCUUGAGUACGGAAGAGGCGAGUGGAAUUCCUGGUGUAGCGGUGAAAUGCGCAGAUAUCAGGAGGAACACCAAUUGCGAAGGCAGCUUGCUGGGACGUUACUGACGCUGAGACGCGAAAGCGUGGGGAGCAAACAGG